AACGAACGCUGGCGGCAGGCUUAACACAUGCAAGUCGAACGAGAUCUUCGGAUCUAGUGGCAGACGGGUGAGGAACACGUGGGAACAUCCCUUUCAGUUCGGAAUAACGUUGGGAAACUAACGCUAAUACCGGAUACGUCCUUCGGGAGAAAGAUUUAUCGCUGAAAGAUUGGCCCGCGUCUGAUUAGCUAGUUGGUGAGGUAACGGCUCACCAAGGCUACGAUCAGUAGCUGAUCUGAGAGGAUGAUCUGCCACAUUGGGACUGAGACACGGCCCAAACUCCUACGGGAGGCAGCAGUGGGGAAUAUUGGACAAUGGGCGCAAGCCUGAUCCAGCCAUGCCGCGUGAGUGAUGACGGCCUUCGGGUUGUAAAGCUCUUUUGUCCGGGAAGAUAAUGACUGUACCGGAAGAAUAAGCCCCGGCAAACUUCGUGCCAGCAGCCGCCGAAA
rnacentral:rRNA from 1 species